UCCCCAUGUUCUGUUCUCUGUGGCCCCUGCAAUGCCAAAACACAGGCUUAAAAAUACUCUCGUGAAAUGUCAAAGUUUUAUUAUUGUACAACUCCAUCUGAGAAUUUGAGACUGCUUCUAAGUUUCUAUUGUCCUAUCGGAAUUGACUAAUGCAUGGCCAGCUUGGUAGGCGUUUUACAGCUCCCACUCAGCAAGCCUUGGCAAGUUCUUGGAAGAAGAAGGGAAAAUGAGGAGGAGGGGAUGUCCUGUUGGUUUCUGAGGUACUGGGUUUCUUGCUGUGUGAACUUUCGAUACACACAUCGGAAAACCUGAAGAGUCUCUGUGCUUUUCCUGGAAUUAUAUAACCAACUACAGUUUCAGAAUACAUCAAAGCAAGGUCUUAUCAAAUACCUUAUCUCCGGGUUUGUCUUCCACAUAAAAUAUGAGUCACAAUCAGGAUCAAACGAUUGAAGUAAACUUUGUCCACACUGCAGUUUGCUCCUGCAGGACUGUGCUUCAUAUCUCCUCUAAGUCCAAAUCCAACUAGGUCUCUUGGGUUAGGCCAUGGACAGUCCUGAGUUUACUUUGGAGGUCACCCCACAGCACCUGUGUACAUCCAGAAAGACGUGGAAAAAGAGAAUCAGGAGUGGAAACUGGGAUCAUCGUCAUCCCCUUGGAGGUAAGAAAUCAGAUAAUUGGAGAAACUUGGAUCUUAUUAUUAGGAAAGCCUGUGUUAUCACUCCACAAUACCAGCAGCUGGUUGCUGCCCAAAUUACUGAUGGAAUCACCUGUCGUUCUAUUUCCACCAUUAGGGUUUAACACUUUUGAGUUUUAAUGUUUUUUUCAGUCUGAAAGAUACCCAUAAAAGUGCAUUUUGUCCUAGGAGGGACCACACCUCAUAGCUUCAUUCAAUGUUUAACUGAAACCUGGAAAGGUCUGAUACUGAGAUAAGGAGAUGAAGAAACAAAUUGUGUUUACUUCUAAUUUUUUCUCAUAGUUGUGGUCAAAAUUAUGCCACUAUUCAUUGUGAGACCUUGGGUGGAUUGCUUAAUUGCACCAAGCUCAAUCUGGCUGUCUUUCAAAAACAGAGAUUUCAAUCUCUUGCCAAUAUCACAAGAUCAUAAAAUCUGCUCACUGUGUACAUAGAGCUACCAGAUGUAAUUAAAGAAAAUAUAAAACAUGGUAUUUCCCUUAAUGUUUGAAAGUAAUUUAGCAAGGGGCAUGGUCAGCAUCUAGGUGCCAUAAAAAAAUGUAAUGAAAGGCAGCUGCUUACAUUUACAGCAGAAGAGAUGAGUGUGAGUUGAAGAAAAUGCUCUUCAUAUAUCAUUUUAAUCAUUUCAAUGUUACAAGGUAAUAAAUGAAUGUAUUCUUAUAAACAUCAAGCAUAUGAGACAAUGCAGCAUGGUUAAUAUGUGCAGAGUCAGGCAGUCUUGUAGUCAAAUUUCAGCACAAAUCCCUGGGCCAUGGGACCUGGGGCAAGCUGGUUGGCUCUGCAGCUCAGCGUCUGUACCUGUCAAAUGGGGAAUACAGCAGCUUUUGGCAUAGGUGCCCCACAAUCAGCAGAAACGCCACUAAAAAUGGAAUGUGUUGAUCUUCUGAGAGUGUAACAAUGGCAGCCGAAAGAGGAAGGAAACGGUCUCAAAUGCAGCUCCUAUAUGGACCCGUUCUUUCAGCCUCUAUUCAGUCACUCCCUAUGUGAGAGGAAUCAAGCUAGAGUCCGAGAGCUCAUCUUUAAGGAAAGGAGCAAGACUUGCAUACAGAAUAGCUUGUGAUGAGUUCAAAGCCAGGGAAGAAGGUGUCAAGGCUACUUCUCAGAAGGCAUGGACCAACAGUGGAGCCUUGAGUGGUGGACAAAAGUUGACCAGGAAGUCACAGAGACGAAAUCCAUUCCAAGCACAGGGAAGGGCCGGUACAAAGGAGAUGUGAACGGAGUGUGGCAGCUGGCAUGUCUUCUCACUUCUGAGUCUAGGACUGAGUGCAUUACCUGAAACACUCAGAUCUGGUGCUCAGUAAUGUGUGUGAUUGAGAGGAAGGAGAGGAAAGCUGUUCCAGGUGUCAGAGUGAGAAGAAGGAUCACAGAAUGAAGAAGCCUGAGAUGAAUACAUAAGGAGCAGAGGCAUGAGAUGAGGAAAAUAAUCGAGACCAGCACUGGCCAUGGCAUAGCAGGUUGCAUGGAGGAAGUCCAGAGACUCUUCCACGAUCCUUUAGCCACUAGCUGCUAGCAUGGCCUUCAGUAAGUCAUCUUGAUAUCUCUUAAUUCCAGUGCUCUCUUCUCUAAAAUACGAGAGCUAAACCUGUUGAGCUCUGAGAUCUCUUUCCAUUCUGUUCAGUUUUAAAAGCAUUUGCUAACUUUCUACUCAGUGCUGGGCACCAUGCUAGACACCAGGGAUCCAAAGACAAGUAAUAUAUUGUCCUCGUUAUUCUCCGCUUGCUGCUCCCACAUGUCAAAUCCAUUCUCAUCCCUUCUCCAGGAGCCCAAGUGCCCUGCAUCAGCCAGGCAUUCUUGCCUUUUGGUCAUCUAUUCCACUCAUGCAAUGGGAGGCAACUAUGAGAAGCUGGAAAUAGCAACAGAGAGAGGUUGGGGCAUUUCCCUUCCUAUUUCCUCCUUACUCCAUCUCUGAGGCUGGCUAUGAUGAUCACAGCCUCUUUCCACAGGUACAGCUCCUGCCCAGCAGCCCAUUUUCUGUGGCUCCAGGCCUCUCUGAGAUUCAGUAACACCGUUUUCCCCACUUACUCCUCCAGACCCACAUGUGCCAAUGACUGCUCACUCUGCUAGUGUCUGACUACCUCAACUUCCUUUAAACCUGCACUAAAGCAUUCUGCAUCGUUUUCAUUAAAAUUUCUUCUGUUCAACCAUGUGAGCGAAUUCUAUUUGUGGCAGGCCUCUAAUUGAUUCAGAGUUUAAAGUGCGAAUGGGUGGGAAGGCAGAACUAUUAAUAUGGCAUUUUUCCAAUAUAAAAUAUCAUAAGAAAACCAAGAAGGGAGCAAUGCUGGAAGGCUGAAGAAGAGAGGCACCACAGGGAGUGUUUGUGGAAAGAGAGUUCGAAGACUGGGGUGGAAGAAUUGAUGAUGGACACAGGGAUGAAAGAAUGGGACCAGAGAGAGUUUAUUGUUAUUGUUGCUACUGCAGCUAUUACUGUUACAUUAAAAACAAUUUUCAACAUGUACAACCCAAAGAGAAAUAAAAUCUGUUAUACCAGAAUAAAGAAUAGCAUGUAAUUAUGUAUGAAUGAUGGGACAAUAAGCAUAAUUUGAGAAGAGGUAUAAUUUCAGCUGUGAAUGUGAACAUGGGUUGACUUUUGCUGUUUUAAGUAGAUUGAUCAUUUUCAAUGUUAUCAACUAAGUGUGCAAAUUCAGCAAUUGAAAAUGCGUGCAAGCUCUGUACAAAAGACAAAUUCUUUAUAUAGAAUAAAAAGUCAACUGGGAAA